GAGACCUUCUAAAAACGUUAAAAUGUAUUACUGGCAUGCAAAACCUUAAAUUAGAGCAAAUAAAUGAAGCCUCGGCACACCACUUCUGAAAGGUUGCCGAUACCUGCUGUAUAGUAUAGGUUAAAAGCACACAAAAGACCAGAUUUCAGGGUGUGUGAUGCAUUUUUCAUGCCCGUGAAUUUGGUAGGGCCUUAGCAAUGCCACAUCCAAUACUAAGGCGAUGGGAGCCACACAAGAACCUGAAUAGAUAGAUACCUUAGGCAGGACAGAGAGGGAACAUUAGCUAAACUUUUACUAACUUUGAAAGUGAUAUAAGUUCUGCUUAUUUUGAGGACUGGGUGAAGAAUCCAAUCAGUUCUUAUUUUAUCUCAGUCAGGCAAUGUAUCCAUACCUGAAACAGAGGAUUGCUUUAGAAUUGCUCCUUGUGCGAAACACAAGAACCAGGGAGAAUUGUAGACUCUAUGCAUGGUGAGGGAAUGUACAUAGGUGUAGGUGCAGCCAUUGCUGAGGUGGAGCUCAGCCCUGCUUCCUAAUCAAGUUGGUACCCAACUGGCAAAUCUAGUUUUAUGAGAGCAUAUCUGCUUGCAGAGAAUUUUCAGUUUCCUGUCUGUAAAACAAAUUAUGUACAUUUUAAUGAAAUCUUCAGAGUUACAGAGGCUGUCACUAUGCAUGCUGUAGCUAUGCCGAUAUAUGCCAAAUUCAGAAAACCACAAAAAUGCUGAAGCUGUAGAUGUGGUUCGACCAGGGUGCUAACUGAAGGAAGUGGAUGUACCAAUAGGUCUUCAGUGCUAGUGUAAGCUUUGCCUUUACCACAAAAAAAAUUAAUUUGGAUUCAAUGUUAAAAAUAAAAUUGUCACCACUACAUUGGCUCAUUUGAAUUCAGAAUGAGCUGUCAGUGGAAAAUGUGAGCUUCUGAAAUGCUCUUAUCCUUUUCCAUGGCACAGCAUGAAACCUUGUAAUCUACAAGGUGUCACAGAUGAACAAUACAAUAUGACUUUGUGUCAUUUUAGUUAUACAAACUGUAUGACCAAAACGCUUUCCAGAGUUAAAUGACACAGCUACAGAGCAGAAAUCUAUCCUCUCAGCUUUUAUUUAUUACUUUAAAAGAUACAGUACAGAAUGGGCAUGACAAAAAAGAUAUGUUUUCAAAGGAGAUAAGUUUAUUUGGUCAGGACAGGCAUAGGGUAUAAAAGCAGUGUGAUGGGGUGUUCACUUCACACUCGCCUAGGAAUAGAGUAACCGUAUUUCACAAAGGGAAAAUGGGACACCACGCGGGGCUAGCCCAAGCCAAUUGUCCCCUGCCCACCCGAGUCCCCCCGAGUCCCCCUUCCCCCUACCUGAGUCACUGGCCCAAGCCCUGCCUCCCCCACGUGCAGGGCUCUUGUCCGAGUCCAGCCUCUCCCCCGCAUGACUGGCAUCACUGCUCACCCGAACCCUGCCUCUCUCCCACGUGGCUGGCUGUUGUUGCUUCCCUGAAAUCUGUUCCCCCUCCCUCUCAGGGCUGGCUGCCCCUUGUCCCCCUCCCAUGCAUGCUCAUUUGCGCCCCGCUAGGAGUGCGUGCCCCACUUUUUUGACAAAUGCCCACUUUUGACAAAACAGGAUGUAUGGUCACCCUACUUAGGAAGGGUUAAUGAGGCUGAGAGUGGCCAAUUAAGCAGAUAGGCUACACCUGAGGGGAAUUAGGUGGCCUAAGUAACCCCCUGAUUGAUGAUAGAGCACAGCUGAGAAGGAACAGGCAGUGCUAGUUUAAAGCCAGGAAGUUGGCAGGAGAAAAUGGCAGCAGUGAGGGAGCUUGUAGACAUGCUCUGGCUGUUAGACAAGGAAACCCAGGGGAGAAUAUAAACCCCAGGUGAUCCAGGUUCUGAAGGAAAGGUUUAUUCAGAAGGCUGGUAGAGUAAAAGCCUGAGAGAGGUAGAGUAGGGAAAGCCUCAGGAAAAUGACCGGCUGCUGAUUAGAGGGUCCCUUAGCUGGAACCCAGAGUAGGGGGAGGCUACUAGCCACUGGGGAAGUGGCACAGUCUGGGAAGUGAGGGAGAAGACUGCCAUGUUGGAUGGAAAGACUUUGAUUAACCCCGGCAAGGGGAAAACAUACAGUGAGCUGACCAGAGGUCCAAGCUACAAAGAGAGAGUGCUGAGCUACUGAGAGAGAAGUAGCAGGGCCCACAAACAAGUGACAGAAGCAGGCGUCAGACCUGGAAGGAACUAAUCCCCGGAGCAGCCAGGAGGAGCCAUCCUAGGGCUGUUCUUCUGGUCAAUCAACUGCGAACAUGACUGACAACUUGUAGUGGCUGACAAAUAUCACACUUCCGAUGUACUGCCAUGAAAUAGAAAAUACAUACUCAAGCCACAGGUAAAUAAAUAUACAACCAACUGCUUAUGGGUAUAUCGAUACACAACCUAUCAGGAAAGAGGUGAAAAUCUAGAUAGCUGCUGUACCCCUCUUUUUGUGACUUAAGGAGGUGACAUCUACUAAAAGUCAGAAUGCUAGUCCAUUUACAAGGAUGUGACAUGAGAUCAGGAAAAUAGCUGUGACUGGCACGCAACAUAUCCUACCCUGUGCGUGUAUGAACAGAACACACAUACGUAAUUGUUUAUGUAAACAACAUUUUGGAAGGACAAUUUCAUUUAAAAAAAAUUAAAAUUACCGUAUGUAUCACCUUUUAGGUGCUGUUCAUUCUUUCAUGCUUUUUUAUAUCUUGCUCAGUUUUACUUUCCUCUGUCUUAAAUUAAAGUGUCUUGCCUUCUAUUUUCUGUAUCCACCCUUUCUCCUAUAGUCCCCUCACUACCAAAUGUUCCUUUUAUUUCCCCCUCAUGCCCAACAAGUUGCUUUCAGACAAGUAGUAUAGUGGCAAUGUGAGGAGUGUGGGAAACUGUACCUUUGAGGAGACUCUGGUGAGAGCUAGUUGAAAUUGAUUGUUAUGCAAAGGCUCACGUCAUGCCAUGCUGCUCAGUUAGAACUCAGACACUGAACAAAGCAGACUGUUGUCAGACUCCUUUGCUCUGAGUGAUCAGUGAACACCACCAAGAGGACAGGCCAACGGGAGAUAAAGUAGGGCAACCCCCUGCGGGUGAAGAUAGUGGUGUUGUGGGAGGGAGAAAUCCAAGUGAAAGGGUAGGUGGGGGAGACUCAAAUGAGGUGGAGGCAGAUAAAAAGCUGCAGUAAAAACAGCUCCCUUCCUCAAUGACAUUAGAGCACAAGGUCCUUGUGCCUGCUUCACCUCUAUCUGCUGUAGCUGAGUCAUAGGAGUGGAGAGUUUACCUGUCUAGUGAGGGCAAAGGCAGUCAAGUGGGCUGACAGGUACUUUCAGCCUGAGCAGCAGGCUAAGACAGGGAGCAGCCAUUCUUAGCUGAGCGAGGAUGGAUGAAUGGAGACUAAUAAAAGAACGAAGGAAGAAGGCCUUCCUUCCUUCAGCUUUCUGGUACCUUCCUUUCUCUUUCUCCCAGCUCUGUGUAGUUUAUUCCUGAGCCUACAAUUCAGUGUGUGUGUGGGGGGGAAUAGGCUUGACCACCCCAUUUGCCAUGUCAGCCACGCUUAAUGUCAAAGUUGCUGUGGAACCCAAAUGAAUUGACCCUAUGUUUUUAAAAAAAUGUGUGUUUAAAAAAACAUGUAGUACAGAGACUUCCUUACAGUUGAAGACCUUAAUUCUACAAGUCCUCAUGCAGUAUACAGCAGGAAGUGCAAGGUUUUUGCACUUCCACCCAAGUGUGUGCUGAAGCUACAUUUGCGCACAAAUGUGGUUAAUUACUCAGCAAAGUCUCAAGCCCAUUUGUGCCUGCUUUCGACUGAGCUUGCUUUGCUUUAAGAACUAGUAAACUCUUCCAUUUAGCUGCUCCGGACCAAAAAGCAGAGUCUCAGCAGCAGCACUUACCAACUGUACCAUUCACCUGCAACUAGCAGCCAUGGUUUCCAGCACAGCCCCUGCCACCCGAGCCAACUAGCUGCAGCCAGAAUGAACCAGCCAGACCAAGGUUAAUGUGGCUUUCUACCCACAGAGGGCAUGUGAAGAGAUAGGAGGCUGUGUGUCUGCCAGCACUGGGAAGGAAACAUGUCUACUGCAGUCUCCUGUGGCAUAGCAUCCUGUUAUCUGACCUAGCCAGCUCACUCUGGGGUAACAAUAAAAACUAUUAACAAAUAGGAGGUGAAAACAAUCAUUAUUCCCAUUUUACAGAUGGGGAGACUGAGGUGUGGGGUGGUAAAUUGACUUACCCAAGUCCCCAGUAAACCACUAGCAGAGCUAGACCUAGAACCCAGGUCUCCUGAGUACUAGGCCAGUGCUGCAGCCACUUAGGCCUCCUAUAUGCGUCUUUUCUUCUGUCUCUGAGUGACUCAAGCAAGAACCCAGGGACUUGCACAUACAAAAAAGUACAUGCCUAAAUUACCUGCGCAGUUACAGGAUAAAAGUUUGGAUAUUUGCAGAUGCAAAUAGCCAGUCAGGUAUCUUAGUAUUCAGCUAUUUGUGAAAAUACCUGAUUUGAACAUGCAAUAGCACAAAUGCCCCUGAGUUUCCCAUAUUUUCAGUCUAUCAGUGUCUAUUCAGAGUUUUACCAUCAGAUGUCAACUUUUGUUUUAGUAAACUAAAACAGCUACUGUAUUUUUCCUAUUUUGCUUUAGGCAGCCAUUGUAAAUAUAACCAUCUAUUCCUAAAGUUCACAGUUGCCAGUGUUUUGCCUGCUAAAAUAUCAAGUGCCUAAUAUGUGACCAGUUUCUAUUAGUCUGAUUAUUAUUCCCUAAUAGAAUAUCAGUAAGGCAGACUGUAGGUUGCCAGCUCUAUUGUUCUCAGAACUUAUUUUGAAAUAUCAAUUUGGGCUUCCAUGGGUUGAAGCAGAGCUUGUUUUUAAAUGAGUGAUGGUGAGUAUUUCACAAGGAAAAGUACUAAAAAGUUUUCAACUUGUAUUCAAUCAAGGACUGUUCUUGGUAGCUUGCCCGUGUUUUCUAACCAUUGCAAAAUAAUGAUUAAAACCUGAUUUAGAAAGAUGCUUAACACUAAUGUGCUACUUGUAUAUUUAUGAGUAGCUCCCAUAAAAAACACUCCCCACUUAGCCCGUGAUACACGCCAUGAAGGUUGCAGAGCGUAGGGUCAGGCAGCAGACAGGACCUAGAGAACCCAAGAAAAGAGACCAAAAUAGGGAACCUUGAUGCAUCUAUUACCUUAGUUGUCCCAUAGUGUUGUGGCCACCUGCACCUAUUGUAGGGACCCAUCUCAUCAUCUGUGGUUUCUCUUCAAGUCUUACCUAAUUUCUUGCUCUUUUUUCUUUCUCCUGAGUUUUCUGCAUUAUUAUUAUUAUUAAUUAUUAAUUAUUAUAAAAUAUAUUUUCCCCUUAAUCACUUUCAGGUCUGCUUGUAUAAUCCAUGCCUGCUUGGUGUAGCACUCUGUCACCCUCUGCCACCCUUUAGUGGCAACUAAACCAGCUAGAGCUUGAUAAGUCUGCUACAGCCUUGUCUAAGCGAGCUGCAUCUCCUAGCUCAAGUAGGAGGCUCAUGCAUUAAGCUCCCAAAGUCCAAGGUUUGAUUUCCCAGCUGCCAACAACCAGGGUUUGUUGGAGUUAGGCUUGUUCUCCAUUAUCUCCUCCGUCUUGUGCUUUCCACCAAGGGCUCUCUAUCCCCACAUCCAUUUAUUGUCUCCCACUACCACCUUCAGCUACCCAUUCACUCAGUCUCACAUAGGGGAGACUGUGGCCUCCUGGCCAGAGCACUAGACUGGAACUCAAGAGACCACUGGCCUGCUGGGUGAUCUUGGGCAAGUCACUUCAGCUCACUGUGCCUCAGUUUCCCCAUCUGUAAAAUGGGUGUAAUGAUAUUUUCCUCCUUUGUAAAAUGCAUUGAGUUCUGAAGAUGAAAAGUGCUAAUAAGAGCUAAGUAGUGUUGUUGUUGUUGUUGUUUUUAUCCUUUCCUUCUCACCUACCCCAUACUCUCUCUCCUCCACUCCCUCCUAUAUACAUUUGACUGCCUGUGGGGAGGGGGAGGGCCAAAGGAUGGAGCUGUCGGCAUGGAGGAAGGGGUCCCAGAACUCUGGGGCUACUCCAGAGUGGGGGGAGCUUAGGUGGAGCUAUCUCUGUUGGGGUGGGUAAUUAGGCAGGCGAGGAAGAGAAAAGGCGGUUAAGUCCCAGGAGAAACCACCAUUAUAAAGCGGUCAGUGGGAGUGUGGGGAUGAAGAUAAGGAUACACAGCCAUGGGGGUGGGAAGAGUCCCUGAAGAGGAGCUGCUGCAGCAGCAGCAACUGAACUAACAAAGAGGCAGAAACUUGAGCAACUCCUAAGGAUGGCCAAUGUGGACUGAUGCUGAGCAAUAGCUCAGCACAAUAGUGCCCUCAGGAAGAGGAAGCCAGCAGGCUGGCUAAGCAGAGGAGGAUGGCCGUGCACAGACCUACUGCAUGGAACAACUGCCCCAGCUGUCCUCCCGCUGCUAGUACCCCAGUAGGAGUGAAGGGGCUUUUUCCCAUUUAAACAAAAAUGCUAGCUUGUAACCACAACCAAGGAAAGAGACAGCUUCAUUCAAUCAAACUGGUGUUAAAUUGCCCUGUGCUGGAAAUGUUGGUAUUCUUGAAAACUGUACUGAGUAUAUUAGUGCAGCUCAGUGUCCAACUUCUGUUAUUAGAAGUGGGAUUUACCUUUGUGUAUGUUUAUAU